rnacentral:rRNA from 1 species
UACGUAGGCAGCAAGCGUUGUUCGGAAUUACUGGGCGUAAAGAGUGUGUAGGCGGUUUUCUAAGUUUGGUGUGAAAUCUCCCGGCUUAACUGGGAGGGUGCGCCGAAAACUGGAAGGUUUGAGUGCCGGAGAGGAUAGCGGAAUUCCUGGUGUAGCGGUGAAAUGCGCAGAUAUCGGGAGGAACACCGGUGGCGAAGGCGGUUC